rnacentral:snoRNA from 1 species
AUGCAGUCCUCCAGAGUCUGCUAGAACACUGUCAAACUAUUUAAGGUCUUGCUCUGCUCCACUCAGAGCAAGGUUUAUAGGUAUUUCCAGACGGAG